CUUGUAGGCUAGCGCUUGGCGCUGCGCCAGGAGUUAAGAGGCUGCAGCUGUGCUCUCUCCCUUUGGGAUCUGCCACAGAUGCUCCGGGCACCGUUAGAUCUCCCAGGUCAUAAGGACAUUAACGUGGAGCUGCUGAGAGCGGGGACCCAAACCAGCUGGAGACCCUCUUACCAGGCUUCCAGGAAAUGAGAGCAACAACCCCAAAGCUUGCUGCUCAGGCGUGCUAGAUUCUCCGCGCUGUUGAAAACCAGCCUUUGAAGUUUGCCUCUGCGCCCGUCUGAUGUGAAGCAGUCUGCCAUUGUCUACUCUGCUCCAGGCACCUUUGCUGUUCCUCUCCUGCCGCUGACAGAGGCCCUGCCCACUAACUAUUCCUUCUGCCUGGAACAUUCCUCCAUCGCCUUUAAAAACUUGCUGAAAUCUCACAAUCUCAGUGAGUCCUGUUUGAAUUAAAACAUAAAACAGGC